UCGAAUCCGUCUCUCUGAACCCCAUUUUUUUUGGCGGGGGGGAGGGGGAAACUUUGGGUUAUUUUAUCGGCAUCUUCUAACCAACCUGGACUCAUCAUUUUCCUACCACCAAAGUUGUUCUAAUUUGGAAAAAUCCCAACUCUGUUCACAGUCACUUUUCUUUCUUUUUUUUAAAUUUUUAUUUAUUUUGAUAAAGAGAGGAUGAGCGGGGGAGCAGCAGAGAGAGAGGGCGACACAGAAUCUGAAGCAGGCUUCAGACUCUGAGUUGUCAGCACAGAGCCCAAGGCGGGGCUCAAAACCGCGGACUGCGAGCUCAUGACCUGAGCUGAAGUCAGACGCUCAACCAACUGAGCCACCCAGGUGCCCCAGUUCACAGUCGCUUUUCUAUACCUAUGCUUGUGCCCUGCUCACUGCUGAAUGAAGUGCUACACAAAUCAGCAGCUACUCCGUGCUAAGCAAGAAGAGGGUCAACAAAGCGUGCCGUUGGGGACAGGACUGACCCUCCGACGCCGGGAUCCUCCCCUGGGACUCAGCGCUGGAAGAGCCCAGGUGAGAUCACCCCACACCUGCAGGGUGUCUGUCCUUUCCCGGGCACAGGAUGGUCCUGCACUUUCUGUCUGGAUUCCCCAGGCUCUGCAGGCUUGGAGGGUAGGAGGUGCAAGGCUCAGCCCAGAGGCCCACUGGCGCCUGCAGAGCUGAGCUAGUGAGGGGCUGAGGCUGGGGGCGGGGGUCUGCUGGAGGCACAGGUGUGGGCAGUGCCCUCCCCACACACACACACACCUGCUGUCUGAAAGAUAGAGAAGGAAGAGUAGAGUCCUCCUCCUUGGUGUUUUUACCCAGCGUGGUGCAGUGCCCUGAGGACCUCAGAUCAGCCAGGAGGCCUGGCGGGCUGUCCGCUGCUGCGGGGGUUUCAACCUCAGAAAGAUGGAGCCCCGUAUCCAAGUGGAAACUUGGAUUCUGACUCAGCACUGCCUCCAAUAACUUGAUCACUUCUCCUGAGCCCGACGCAAAUCCUCCACGGUCUCUUUCCCUGAAAUCCUUGUCCGUCCACACCCCAGUAAACACAGUUAUGCAGAAGCCCAGUAAACUGGUAUCUGCUGGGUGGAACACCCAAUACUACAGCAACCUUGAGCACUGGAGCAGAUUUAUCUUGAUAAGAUGGUCAUGCCAAAUAGUUAAAACAAAAAAAACAAAAAAACCCCAGGUCCUUCCUGGUACCACUGAGUUGCUAAAUUAAGCCACACUGUUUCCACCCUUGAGACAGUAAGAAGAAUCCUGUGUUGAUUUGUGGACUUUAACUUCUGGCUGACUAGUUCUCUUUCAACGAACUAAUGUGAUGCUUAACCCACAACACAGCCCAGAGAAAAAUGCACAAGAGAGAUGAAAAGAUGAAAAGAUGAAACGAGGAGACGAUCUAGAACUUGGAAGGGGGACAAUACACAGAUAAAGGGGCUGAGCUGAGGUUUUUUUCCCCCCAAAUUCUGAAUCCCUACAGCAUAAAGCAAAUAAAAAGUAGGAAAUGAAAUCCCUAUCAAAAACAUCAGUGUACAUGGGGCGCCUGGGAGACUCCGUCGGUGAAGCGUCUGACUUCAGCUCGGGUCAUGAUCUCACAGCUUGUGGGUGCGAACCCUGCGUUGGACUCUGUGCUGUCAUCAUGGACCCUGCUUGGUAUUCUCUCUCUCUCUCCCUCUCUUUCUUCCCCUUCCUGCUUGUGCUUUGUCUCAAGAAUAAAUACAUAUUUUUUAAAGUUUUUAAAAAGAAGUCAGUGUGCAGACAGGAGAUCAUCUCCACAACAGCCAGGAUGAAAGGAAUAAUCACCUACAAAGUAGCGGCAAUUAGCAGAAAUCCCAACACCCACAAUAAAGGACAAAGCAUUGAAUGGUACCUCCAAAAUGCUGAGGGACAACACCUGUCAGCUUUCAAUUAUAUGGCAGGCAAUCAUUCUUCAAGAAUGAGGCUUUAGAAAGACCUUUUUGUCUCCCCUAAAAAUUUGGGAUUUUUUAAUAGAUCCAUCACGUGAAAAUGUCAGGGCAGAAAACUUCACCAAAAUGUUAUCCUAAAUCCAAAGGAAGCAGUUCUGUGUUAUUUAAGCUCUCUGCUUAAGUCACCAACUGUAGGUCACUGUUUUUGUAACAUCCCCAUAUCAGUGUUGUCAUUCCUCAGAGAUACGUGAUUGGACUACUUUAAGUUUGGUAGAAAAAUCAAGUGAGGAUAUAGAUCACCCACUUUUGUCAGUGCCUGGGGAUUAGUGCUAACUGGUGAUUCUGCAUUUUUUUUUCAAGAAAGUUCGAAAGUGGCCUUUGCACCCUCUCUGUGAGUUAUCAGCAAUAGGGAUGUGGUAACAGGGAAAGCUGUGGUUUCUAAUGCAAUGGAUUACACACAGACACACACAAUCACUGAAAGGUUAAAAACAACAAUGAUGCGAUCAGAUUUGUAUUUCAUAAGUAUUAGUAUAGAUUAGAACAUGGGUUGGCAAACUAUGGCCCAUCGGCCAAAUCUGGCCCCUUGCCUAUUUUUAUAAAUAAAGUUUUAUUGGAACACAGCCAUGCCCAUUUAUUUAUGAAUUGUCUAUGGCUGUUUUCACCCUACAAUAGCAAAGUGGAAUCGUUGUGAGAGUGACCUAACAUUUUAGCUAUCUGGCUUUUUACAGAAAAAGUUCUGGCUUAGAAUAUCCUAAAACUGACUAAGGAGGGUACACACCACACUGAUCAUGUAGACCCAUCAGGCACCUAUUAAAUUUGGUCAAGAGAGGUGCCUGGGUGACUCAGUUCGUUAAGCAUCUGACUCUAAUAAAAAUAUUCUUCCAAUUAAAAAAAAAAGCGUCUGACUCUUGGUUUCAGGUCAGGUCAUGAUCUCGCGGUUCAUGAGUUUGAGUCCUGUGUGCUGGCACAGAGCCUGCUUGGGAUUCUCUCUCUCCCUCCCUCCCUCUCUCUUCCCCUCCCCUGCUCAUGCUCUCUCUCUCUCUCAAGAUAAACAUUAAAAAAUUUUUAAUUUGGCCAAGAAAUACCUGAGCGAGGGCAGAAAAAUGAAAGAAACCAACAUAACCAUCGGUGAACUAAGUAAUAUUUCUUCCUAGACAAAGUAUACCAAGUAUAAAGUUAAGUCUAAGUUAGGUCUCAGGCGUAUAAGCACAACCUCAAAGUUCUUUGCCUUUUAUUAUGCUUGUGUCCUUGUGAGAUAGACAUUGUGACAUAAAGUCGGUAUGUGACUUGUGCAGAAUUUACUGUGAAACCAGAGAGGGAAAGCCAGCACUAAAUUGUACCUAUUUGACCCAGUGAUUAACAUUUGACCCUCUGGUCUUCAUUCAUGGUGGGUCUUAGAGCUCUCAGAUCACCCCCUUUAAGACACGUAGUCAUUAAGAAGGAUCUCAGGGUAUUAAAGACAAAGUCGCACCAUGGGGAUCUGGUGGUUCUGGCAUCACUUCUUUCGAUUGUCAGAUUUGGAUUGCUGUCUUUUACAUCCUUCAGUAGCUUCUGGACUUCCAUGCUAGAUUCAUCCGUCUCCAACCUGAGUAUCUUUAAGGGGCCGUUAUUCUGUUUUAAAGCCUCAAAGAGCAUCAUUAUUCUGCUCUGCCCCAAGGUAUUCCAGCUCAGGUCCAGAGUUUCCAGCCUCUGAGCGCUGACUACCACCAGUGCAAGACCCUGACAACAGGAGGGGGUGAUGGAGCAGCCACAGAGCCUGUGGGGAAAAAGCACAGAGACCCAGUCAGUACUCACUUAGAACCUACCGUGUUGCUAGAUGCACUCGUUUUGCUGGCUGGGGACCUAGUAGUGAAGAUAGGAAAGAAAAAAAUUAUUUUCUUCAUGGAGCUUAUUUUAGUGACAUCAGACUUCCCUCAGAACGCGGAAGACAGUGGAUGGUGGUAGAGAAGCCACGUUAGCAGGAUUAGGAUCAACUGGCCAGAGAAGCAUUCGGUAGCUUUAUGGUGGUUGGUGAAUCCCUCAUUGGGGAGAUGAUAGGAGAAAAAAAGUAAAAAGAGGAGAGUGGGGCCAUUAUGGUAAGUGGGGGACCUAAGCCACUGAUACAAUUUCACUGUAGCUGAAAUGCCAAGCUGGGGGAGGGUCUUGUAGACUCCUGGAAAAACCUUCAGAUUUGACCUGCAGUGGCACAGGGAAGGAGCUUUUGGGUCUUUUGAAACAGCUGCCCGUGGUCUGGCUUGAAGCUUGACAGGUACUUCAGGGAGAUGGGUUGAGAACAAACUUCAGGAAAUCAAGGGCCAUCUCAGGGAUCAUGCCACACUCCACGGGAGAGUUGGUGGCCUCAAUGCGAGCGUUAAGCACUGGAGGUGUCGAUGGUCAUCUGCUAGAUGUCUGGAAGGAGGGGUCUCAAAAUGAACGUGAGGUGCGAAAGGAAAGCAGGAAGAAGAGGACAGAAGCCUUCUAGUUGGUGAAGAGAUGGACUGUUUUCUCCUAGACGUUCCAGUGAAUCAAUUAUACUCAGUAAGGCAUGGUAUGUGAACAUCGCCUCCGUUCCUCGCCUCCUUGUUCUAGAGCUCUUCCUAGACUAAAAGAUGCGUUUGCCAGUGGGAAACAGAGGGUGGGACCCUUUAUGGUUGAUACGGUUCAUGCUAGCUUAUAAAGAGCCCAGUGGGCUGACUCAAGCCAGACCGCCCCCUCAGCCAUGUACCCUUGAGUUCUGAACCAUCUGCACGUCUAUGUCCCACAUCACUAACCAUCAUUCUGCUGCCCCAGGUGCUAUAACAGGCACUGCAGAUACAAGAAAUAAAUUCCAUCCCCCUCGGAAAUAAAACUCACAAUGGAUAAAUGGAUUAACAAAUUGUGGUAGAUCCCUACAAUGGGAUAUUGUUCCGCCAUAUAAAGGAAUGAAGGAUUUAUACCUGCUCCAGUGUAGAUCAAUCUUGAAAAUAUACUCACUGAGCACUGGGUGUUGUAUGGAAACCAAUUUGACAAUAAAUUUCAUAUAUUAAAAAAAAAAAAGAAAAAAGAAAAUAUACUCACUGAAAGAAGCCCAACACGAAAAGCUACUUACUCUAUGUAGGACUCUGUUUAUACGGAAUAUACCGAAUUGUAUAUGGAUAGCAAGAUAGGUAUAGAAUGGAGACAGAAAAUAGAUGUGUGGUCACCAGGGGCCAAGAGGUCUGGAGUCCCCAUUUGGGGUGAUAGAUAAUAAGUAUAGCAAAAGCCACCAAGUUAUACACUUUUAAAUGGCACAUUUUAUAUUGUGUGAAUUUUCAAUUUAACAAAUUAUAGGGGCAGCUGGGUGGCUCAGUCAGUUAAGCAUCCAAUUCUUGAUUUUGGCUCAGGUCACGAUCUCACAGUUCAUGAGUUCAAGCCCUAUGUCAGGCUCUGAGCUAACAGCGCAAAGCCUGCUUGGGAUUCUCUCUCUGCCCCUCCCCUACUCACACAUAUGCACAAACUUCAUGCCUAUCAAAAAUACACAUU